rnacentral:lncRNA from 1 species
GAGAUGAGAUUCUCAGUUCCCACAGUGAACGCUGUGACAGCUCUUCUCUGAGGACACAAUUUGAUCUGGAAUAUACUUCUAAUAGUUCUUCCUUUAUAAUUUGUGGAGGGGCAGAGCUGAGGAUCGAACCCAGGGCCUUACACUUGCUAGGCAAACGCUCUACCGUUGAGCUAAAUCCUCAACACUGCUGUCUCUUCUGAUGGACACUUUGGCCCACAGAAUGCUGGAGAGAACUCGUAGUUGGAACUACUCAUGCUGCAGAAGGGGAAACUGAGGCACAAGGAGUCAGGGAACUCUCUGAUAAUCACUCCAAGGCCAGAGGAUGUCUGCAGCAUGGGAUGAAAGUCACACAUAUGAAGAACUAAAGUCAAAAGAUGAUGUAAUGAAACAAGAUGCGGUGGGUGCCGUUAGAAGUCACAACACUGUGAUAUUUGAAGAUAGCACCGUCUGGAUUUUUUUCCCCUCCUCUCCGUAUCAGGACUUGCCUAUAAUGAGCAAUAGCUCAGCCCGUGUCUGUCUUCACUAUCUCCCCUUCACCCCCACCCCCAACCAGCGUUUAUGAAAGUAGCAAUUGCUUCUGAGAAAAAGAAAACCGCUGGAGCUUGAAGCUCCUGCUGGAAGCCACUGCUUGCCUCAGUCUGUGGAAACCCAGACGCUAGAAAUCGGAGUUUUGCCGCGCUUCACCUUGCCAACGUGUGCUCGGGAGUUUUAUUUUUAUAAGGUCAGAGAGUUCUCUGCAAGACUCAGCACACUGGCUGGAGAGGGAUGGCUGCAUGCCCCCCCCCUCUCUUUCUGUGUGUGUAUGUGAGCUGUGUGGGCAGGUGUGAGUUGUGUAGCUGUUUACACAGGCUACACACACCUGAAUCUCCUGGGUUCGGCCCCCUUUUGUUAGUUAUUGGCACCAUUUCGCCCCUGAGUCUCUAGAGGCUCUCCUUUCUUUCUAUCUGGCUGGCCCUCACCUUGGCCUGGACACUGCCUUCUGUCUGCCUUUACUCCCUGUGCCAUGGAAGGUGUGACGCUGUGACUUCCCCACCCCCAGUUUUCCUCCUGGUGUGAAUCUGUGACCCUUGCCACUUCCCACCAGCUUUCUUCCUGGCACCCCAGCAAGUGGCUCCCUGACCUUGGCUGCUCAUUAGAAUCUUGAGAUCCUGUGUUGAAUAAACCAGAACACACAUCA